UAGGGAAUAUUCCACAAUGAGCGAAAGCUUGAUGGAGCGACACAGCGUGCACGAUGAAGGCCCUCGGGUUGUAAAGUGCUGUUGCAAGGGAAGAACAGUUAGUUGAGGAAAUGCUUCUAAUCUGACGGUACCUUGUUAGAAAGCGAUGACUAACUAUGUGCCAGCAGCCGCGGUAAUACAUAGGUCGCAAGCGUUAUCCGGAAUUAUUGGGCGUAAAGCGUUCGUAGGCUGUUUAUUAAGUCUGGAGUCAAAUCCCAGGGCUCAACCCUGGCUCGCUUUGGAUACUGGUAAACUAGAGUUAGAUAGAGGUAAGCGGAAUUCCAUGUGGAGCGGUGAAAUGCGUAGAUAUAUGGAAGAACACCAAAGGCGAAGGCAGCUUACUGGGUCUAUACUGACGCUGAGGGACGAAAGCGUGGGGAGCAAACAGGAUUAGAUACCCUGGUAGUCCACGCUGUAAACGAUGAUCAUUAGUCGGUGGAAAACUACUGACGCAGCUAACGCAUUAAAUGAUCCGCCUGAGUAGUAUGCUCGCAAGAGUG
rnacentral:rRNA from 1 species